CAAACAAAAUAAUUUUCAAUAAUUAAUAUAAUAAUUUUAUUUUUACUUACUACCUAUAUAAUAUAAAAUAUUAUUAUUAAAAGGAUUAAUAUAACUUGUUUUCUUAUUCAUAAAAAGUACACAGCCAUUUUUGAUAUUACAAAAAGCUAUUUCAUGUUCAGUACUUAUCGUCAUACAAAACAUAAUUACAUAAACAUUUUGUCAAACUAUUCAUAAAAAAAUUAAUACUAUAGGAGUAACGUAUUAAAUAGAAUCAACAUUCACUAUUAUUUUAUAAACGAGUUAGUCGAGAAAACUAAAUAUUGUUGCUUAUUCAGUUGGUGUAUAAAAUAAAUUAUAAUAAUAAAAUUAUGUAAUAGUUUAAGGCCCACUUACAUAAGGACAGAUAAACUGAUUUAGUUAAAGUUUGUGAUUCUAUCUCUUUUUGGUAAGAGCAUAAUGCAAUUACCAAAGUGACAGCAUUUAAGUGUCCUUAUACAAAUGGACCUUAGACUCAAUUUAGUUUUAUUCUAGGUAGUAAUGCACUAGUAUUUAUUUUGCGGUAAUACUAGGAGUAUUUAAAUAAGAUACAGAAGAAAUGGUGUAUUUAGGGUAUAAUAAUUGGUUUAAAAACUAAACUAAAUCCUUUUAAGGUUUAGUUUAGUUAGGAAUCUUAGGCUGAGAUCUGUAGAGGGUACUUUGACUUUCCUCAGACAUAAGUUUCAGUUGAAACGAGACAGAUAUGCUAGCGAUAUAACGCUCUCUCGUUUUAACAGUGUCUUAAGUCUGAGCCAAGUCAAAGUUCGCUUUAUAGUUUUCAGCCUCAAAAGCUAAAGCAACAUAUUAUUUACAUAUAUUUCACAAAUCAUCAUCAUCAUUAUCUUCAGUCCUCUACCUUUAAAAGCCAUAACUCUAAUAUCCACCACGCUGGUCAGUUGCAAUUUGGUAGACUUGAAGGUUUCCUAAAAAUGUUUUUCUUCAUCGUUAAAGCAAGUAGUAUAUAAUUGCUUGACUGAUUCAUGAACCCUAGGAAGGAUUCCUAAAUAGGAAGCCGAUGUCUUACGGUGGCUGGUUACCGGCUAAAAUUAAAAUCAAUCAUCUGUAAUCUGUCGAUAAGUUACUUAGCAAUGUUGUUAUUCGUCAAAAGUCUUUUUAACAAACAACAGCGUUGCUAAGUAACUUACCGACAAGUUAAAGAUAGAUUGAGCAUUAAUUUUGGCCGUUAACCAGUAGGCUACACCGCUUUACAUGAUUAACUAAAUCUAUUUAAAACUAAAUUUUGAUCCAUCACAUAUUAUGCCAACACCUUUAAUCAAGACUUAGUCCAGAAAAUACUAAAUAUUUUGUACUCAAAGUACCAAUAAAACGAAACAACAGUCACUAUAAAUGCAUAAACAAUUUUUUUUACUUAAUAUUUAAGUAAAGUUGAAUAAAUUUUUCUAUGGCAAUGUGUCUGUAAUUUUUAAAAUACCUACUAUAUUAUUAUUUACAAUUUUACUACAUAACAAUAUCAAUAAAAAUAACAAUGAAAAUGAAUCUUAGAUUUCAUCAAAAUUAUGAGACAAAAUUUUGGUAACAAAAGUUUCACUCUUAAAUUUUCUUAUUAGACUGAAAUUAAUUAAUCAAAAAUAUGUCAAUUAGUAAUAAAAAAAUUACAAUAAUGUCCUGAUAAAUCUAUGCUGUAUGUUGUUAAUUUUCUCUAUGAAUUAUUUUUAUUAUUAUUA